rnacentral:rRNA from 1 species
CCUACGGGGGGCAGCAGUGAGGAAUAUUGGUCAAUGGACGAGAGUCUGAACCAGCCAAGUAGCGUGAAGGAUGACUGCCCUAUGGGUUGUAAACUUCUUUUAUAUGGGAAUAAAACAGGGUAUGCAUACCCUCUUGUAUGUACCAUAUGAAUAAGGAUCGGCUAACUCCGUGCCAGCAGCCGCGGUAAUACGGAGGAUCCGAGCGUUAUCCGGAUUUAUUGGGUUUAAAGGGAGCGUAGGUGGAUUGUUAAGUCAGUUGUGAAAGUUUGCGGCUCAACCGUAAAAUUGCAGUUGAAACUGGCAGUCUUGAGUACAGGAGAGGUGGGCGGAAUUCGUGGUGUAGCGGUGAAAUGCGUAGAUAUCACGAAGAACUCCGAUUGCGAAGGCAGCUCACUGGACUGCAACUGACACUGAUGCUCGAAAGUGUGGGUAGCAAACAGGAUUAGAUACCCGGGUAGUC